rnacentral:rRNA from 1 species
UCGAGAAUCUUCCGCAAUGGGCGAAAGCCUGACGGAGCAAUGCCGCGUGCAGGAUGAAGGCCUUCGGGUCGUAAACUGCUGUCACAGGGGAUGAACGCAAUGACAGUACCCUGGGAGGAAGCCACGGCUAACUACGUGCCAGCAGCCGCGGUAAUACGUAGGUGGCGAGCGUUGUUCGGAUUUAUUGGGCGUAAAGGGUUCGUAGGAGGUAUGGUAAGUUCGAUGUGAAAUCCCGUGGCUCAACUGCGGAACUGCAUUGAAAACUGUCGUACUAGAGUGUCAUAGAGGAGAGCGGAAUUCCUGGUGUAGCGGUGGAAUGCGUAGAUAUCAGGAAGAACAUCGAUAGCGAAGGCAGCUCUCUGGGUGACAACUGACUCUGAAGAACGAAAGCGUGGGGAGCAAACA